rnacentral:ncRNA from 1 species
UCCGAUAAAGGCAAACCCGGAGUAAUCCGGGGACGCAAAGUAAAGGGUCUUCAAUUUUGUUUUGAGUUCCGGGUUUGAGACAGGAUUCAGAAGACAGCCUUACUGCCAACG